rnacentral:rRNA from 1 species
GAGAGUUCAAGAGUACGUGAAACUGUGUGGUGGUAAACGGAGGGGUUCUCGAAGUUUCCGUGGGGAACUCAACCUUGGUGGUCUGCAGCCUUGUCGUAUUUGAUCAGCAAUGACUUUGCGUCUUGUCCUGCUCUCCUCUCGGGUGCAUUUCCCCCGCGGUUCACGACAGGAACCGUUUGGCUUGGACCGAAGGGCUUGGGUGAAGUUGUUGGUUCUGCUGGCAGCCCCUUGUUCCUGGCUCCACGCCAGACGGGUACGGGAGAGGACUCGUAUAUCGAGCAAUGCUCUGUUGCCGUUCUCAUCUCUCUGUCGAGUAGGUCGGUGGCCCCUCCGACCCGUCUUGAAACACGGA